rnacentral:lncRNA from 1 species
CUCUGUCCAAAUAUUAUAUGUCAAUACCUUUAUAAACUAAAGUAGGUUUCCAGACGGCCUUUUCAUAUGUCCUUAAUUUUGGCUACUGCCCCCUCCUCCCACUUCUCCAUUGUGCUUCUAUCUACUCCCUGCUUAGACCUUCUGUCUUAGGCUUCUAUUGCUGAGAUAAAACACCAUGACUGAAAGCAUCCAGAGAAGGAGUUUGUUUUACCUUACACUUCUGGCUAACAAUCCAUCACUGAGGGGAGUCAGAUCAGGAGCUCAAGCAGGGCAGGAAUCUGGAGGCAGAAGUCAGAGGGGCAUGCUCACUGCUGGCUUACUCCUCAUAGCUUCCCAAGUCUGUUCUCCUACAGCACCUAGGACAAUAGGAGUGAUACCUGCCACCAUGAGCUGAGCUUCCCACAUCAGUCACUAACCAAGAAAGUAUACCACAGGCUUGUCCACCACCACUUUAGAAGAGACAUUGUCUCAGUUGAAGUUUCCUCUUCCAAAACGACCCUCGCUUGGGUAACAUUGACCAAGUUCGCCGCCAGCUUUCUGUAACAUUAAAUAUUAAUUAAUCCCAGCUCCGGGGUUCUGCUACCCACCCCAGAGGUCUAUGUUCCCAAGCAAAAGAAACACACACCCAGCCUUUAUCGUUUAAUAUGUGCCUUAAACAGCACAAUAGCUGAGCCAUUGCCUGACCUCCAUGUGGUUAAUCCCAAGUUACUAUUUACUAGUUCUAUGUUCCAUCUUGGCUGCCCUGGACCCAGUCGGGCACCCUCUGGGCCAAGCUCUCCUGGCUCCUUCACACGCGGUGGCUAUGCCUCUCUGUCUCUCCUCUCUUCCACACUCUCUCAGCAUGGUGGAUCUCUUCUUCCUCCUUCUCCUCCCAAGCCCAGGAAUAUAAUUAGCAUUCAUAACACAAGCAGCUACACCCUUCUACCCUCACUAUCUUCUUCCAUUCUUAUGUCUAAUGUGCCCUACUAUUCCCAUCCCUUAAACCUCACCCACUUUUCCACUGAGCCUCUUUCUGUCUUCUGGUCUUUAUCAGGACUCAAAGUUAAACAUGGUACUCCAAAAAUGUGUAUCUAGGAUCCAUGUUUGGGGAAGAACAUAUGGUCUUUCUGAGGUUGGGUUACUUCACUCAAUACAGUAUUUUCUAGGUCAAUCCAUUUUUUCUAAAAUAUUCACAGUUUCGUUCUCCUUUACAAAUGGAUAAAAUUCCAUGGUGCUUGCACACCACAUUUCCAUUAUUUAUUCUGCUCUAUGGCCAUCUGGGCUGGUUCCAUUUCUUCUGUACUGUGAUUAGCAUCACAGUGAACAGGGAACUACAUCUUUAUUGUAGGAGUUAGAAUCUUUGGUAUCUAUGCCCAGGAGUAAUGUAGCUACAUCACAUAGCAAUUCUGCUUGGAGCUUUUUGGAAACUUCCACAAUGCUGUCUCCACCCCCAUCAACAGUGAGUAAGGGCCUCCCUCCCCACAUCCUCACUGCAUCCCUACUGGUGUGUACAGUCGUUUGCUUUACUCAUAAUAGCCGUUCUCACUGAAGUAAGAUGGGAACUGAGUAGUCUCCAUUUGCACUUUUCUGGUGCCUAAGGGUGAAGAAUGCUUUUUAAAAAAUAUUUAUUAGCUAUUUUGUUUCUCUUGAGAGCUCUCUGUUCAGUUCCAUGAGCCCUUUUUAAUAAGAUUGUUCACUUUCUUGAUGUUUGGUUUGCUUAAGCCCUUGGAAUAUUCUAGAUAGUGAUCCUCGGUCGGAGGAAUAGCUGGUACGGCUUCUCACCCGUUCUGCAGGCCACUCCUCAUUAAAUUAGCAGUUUCCUUUGUGUUGAAGAAAGCUUUCUAAUACCACGAGGUUCUGCUUGUCAACUGUUGGCUGUAUUUCCUGGGUCCCACUCAGAAAGUUCUCACCCGUGCUCACAUCUUUGAGUGUGUGCCCUACUGUGACUGUUAGCAGCUUCAGAGCUUCAGGCCUUACACUGAAAUCAUCGGCCCGUCUGGAGUUGACUUGUGUGCAGCAGGAGAGAUUAGGAUUUAGUUUCAUCCUUGUACAUGCAGAUGUUAUAAAAUGAAUUCAUAUGCCGGCUGUGCGCACGCCUUUAGUUCCAGCACUCAGGAGGCAGAGGCAGCCAGAUCUCUGAGUUCGCGGCCAGACUUGUCUGUAAAGCAAGUUACUGGAUAGCCAGCACUACACAGAAAGACUCUCUUGAAAAACAAAGGCAAAGUCUUUUGUAGCCUUAUGUUAUAAAGUACUUUUCUAAAAUAAUAAUGGAAAAUGAUGAGUAUUCUAUUGGCUUUGCUGCCACAGUGAAAAUUACUGAUUACUUGGGGUUCUUUUGUUUUUGGUUUUUUUGGUUUUUUUUUUUUUCAUUUAUUUUGCCUCGAGAAUGUAAUUGAGUAUGAAAUUUAAAAUUGCCAACUCCUCCACUCAAAUCUGAAUCAAGUGGUCUGUGGUCUUCAGUCUUUAUAUAAGGUGACUUAAGUAAUGCAUUCUUGGAGAUGUUGUUCCAGCCCCUGGCCAGGCAGAGCUACAGGGGAAAAAAUCCUGUCACAAAAAAGACUGUCCUGAUGUGUGCUCAGAAUAAUUAAUUGCCCUUCACUUUCUGGUCUCUUUCAAACCCCAGCACCAAUCAGGAGGAGGUCAGGCAUUAUUUGGGACAGGCAAUUGGUACUUUCUUAGUGAGGUAACCCAAUCACAAAAGAAGUCAUUAGAUAUGCACUCACUGAUAAGUGGAUAUUAGCCCAGAAACAUAAAACACCCAAUAUACAAUUUGCAAAACACAAGAAAAUCAAGAAGAGGGAAGACAAUGAGUGAAUACUUCAUUCCUCCUUAGAAUAGGGAACAAAAUACCCAUGAAAGGAGUUUUCAUCUUGGAGCUAAGACGAAAGGAUAGACUAUCCGGAGACUGCCCCACCUGGGGAUCCAUCCCAUAAUCAGCCACCAAACCCAGACACUAUUGCAUAUGCCAGCAAGAUUUUGCUAAAGGGACCCUGUUAUAACUGUCUCGUAUGAGGCUAUGCCAGUGCCUGGCAAAUACAGAAGUGGAUGCUCACAGUCAUCUAUAAGAUGGAACACAGGGCCCCCAAUGGAGAAGCUAGAGAAAGCACCCAAGGAGCUGAAGGGGUCUGCAACCCUAUAGGUGGAACAACAAUAUGAACUAAUCAGUACC